rnacentral:rRNA from 1 species
UACGGGGGGGCAAGCGUUGUUCGGAAUUACGUGGGCGUAAAGGGCUCGUAGGCGGCCAACUAAGUCAGACGUGAAAUCCCUCGGCUUAACCGGGGAACUGCGUCUGAUACUGGAUGGCUUGAAUCCGGGAGAGGGAUGCGGAAUUCCAGGUGUAGCGGUGAAAUGCGUAGAUAAUCUGGAGGAACACCGGUGGCGAAGACGGCAUCCUGGACCGGCAUUGACGCUGAGGAGCGAAAGCCAGGGAAGCCA